UUCCGAGACAGGUCUCGCUCGCUCUUGCGCAGACCCAAUAUAUAUAUUUUUUCUAUUCAUAACAACCGCGUGAAAGAGAACUCUCAUAAAGGAAAUUGUGUGAGGUGAGACAGGAAACAGAGAUUAAUACCUUAUCAGUGAAGACAAUUCACACAAGUGGGAACGGGGAACGGUGAGUUAUAUAACACAUAAAUCGACGAAAAAAGUGAAGAAACCGAAACGAACGACCAAGCAGAAACAAGUUACAACAAGUAUUGGGGAAAAAUGUAUUGAGAAUUUUUAAACGAUGAGGUUGAGAUUAACAGCGCCGCCGCACAUAUACACAGUGGUGUGUUCCUAUUCCACCGUCACUUUCGUUAGAUACCAUACAUAACUGAACAGGUAAGUUGUUCUGCGCCCAGACAAACGUAGAAACAGAUGCACUUUCGUCGUCUGUUGCCACAUUAAUUGUGUGUUCUCUUUGCUUACAUUUUCUCAUGUCAGUGCACGUCUUUCCACAGAAUCAAUAUGAUAAAUUCGACCUCCUGGCGCAUUGUCGCUGUUUUCUGAAGAAAAAAUUUAUAGUUCGUUACUUUUUAUGUUCAUUUCAUGCUUGGAGUGAUUAUAUACCCAAAAGUGUUACUCAUUCUUU